AUACCCGCUGAACUUAAGCAUAUCAAUAAGCGGAGGAAAAGAAACCAACAGGGAUUGCCUCAGUAACGGCGAGUGAAGCGGCAACAGCUCAAAUUUGAAAUCUGGCCUCUUUGGGGUCCGAGUUGUAAUUUGUAGAGGAUGUUUCGGGUACCGCCUCGGUUUAAAUUUCUUGGAACAGAAUGUCAAAGAGGGUGAGAAUCCCGUCUUGGACCGGCGGUAGGGCCCAUGUGAAACUCCUUCGACGAGUCGAGUUGUUUGGGAAUGCAGCUCAAAAUGGGUGGUAAAUUUCAUCUAAAGCUAAAUAUUGGCCAGAGACCGAUAGCGCACAAGUAGAGUGAUCGAAAGAUGAAAAGCACUUUGAAAAGAGAGUUAAACAGUAUGUGAAAUUGUUGAAAGGGAAGCGCUUACAACCAGACUUGCGCGCGGCGGUUCCCCCUUCCUUUUGGUUGGGCUACUCCGUCGUGUCCAGGCCAACAUCGGUUCUGGGGGUCGGUUAAAGACCCUGGGAAUGUACCUACCCUUCGGGCGUAGACUUAUAGCUCAGGGUGUCAUGCGACCUCCCGGGACCGAGGAACGCGCUUCGGCUCGGAUGUUGGCGUAAUGGUUGUCAGCGACCCGUCUUGAAACACGGACCAAGGAGUCUAACAUCUAUGCGAGUGUUUGGGUGUCAAACCCGGAACGCGAAAUGAAAGUGAACGGAGGUAGGAAGCCGUGAGGCUGCACUAUCGACCGAUCCUGAUGUCUUCGGAUGGAUUUGAGUAAGAGCAUAGCUGUUGGGACCCGAAAGAUGGUGAACUAUGCCUGAAUAGGGUGAAGCCAGAGGAAACUCUGGUGGAGGCUCGCAGCGGUUCUGACGUGCAAAUCGAUCGUCAAAUUUGGGUAUAGGGGCGAAAGACUAAUCGAA
rnacentral:rRNA from 1 species